rnacentral:rRNA from 1 species
GACAGAGGGUGCGAACGUUGCUCGGAAUUACUGGGCGUAAAGCGCAUGUAGGCGGCAACGCAAGUCGGGCGUGAAAUCCCACGGCUCAACCGUGGAAGUGCACUCGAAACUGCGUAGCUAGAGUCCUGGAGAGGAAGGUGGAAUGCUUGGUGUAGAGGUGAAAUUCGUAGAUAUCAAGCGGAACACCGGUGGCGAAGGCGGCCUUCUGGACAGUGACUGACGCUGAGAUGCGAAAGCGUGGGGAGCAAACAGG